CCCGUGGAGGGCCGAACCUUUCACUGUUGCAAAAGUGUGGGAUGAGGUGUGGGUAGGGGUGAUAUGCCAAACGAACUUGGAGAUAGCUUGUUCUCCCCGAAAUAGCUUUAGGGCUAGCCUGGCGCGUUAAAUCAUGGAGGUAGAGCACUGGAUGGACUAGGGGGCGCGAGCUUACCAAACCCAACCAAACUCCGAAUGCCAUGAUUAGAGAGCGCUGGAGUCGGACUACGAAUGAUGAGAUCCGUAGUCGAGAGGGAAAGAGCCCAGACCAUCGGCUAAGGUCCCGAAGUACCAACUAAGUGGGAAACGAGGUGCGUGAGCCGAGACAGCCAGGAGGUUGGCUUAGAGGCAGCCAUCCUUUAAAGAGUGCGUAAUAGCUCACUGGUCGAGCGCACGUGCGCGGAAAAUGUAACGGGGCUGAAGUUGGUCACCGAAGCCAUGGGUGUCUACCGCAAAGGUAGGCGCAGUAGGGGAGCGUUCUGCGGGCGAAGAAGCCGUACUGUAAGGAGCGGUGGAGCGCGCAGGAGUGAGAAUGCUGGCAUGAGUAACGAGAAACACGUGAGAACCGUGUUCGCCGUAAGUCUAAGGAUUCCGACGGAAGGGCAAUCCACGUCGGGUUAGUCGGGCCUAAGCCGAGGCUGAGAAGCGUAGGCGAUGGACAUCCGGUUAAUAUUCCGGAACCACCGAGAUGGAGCGAAGGGGGGACGCAGUGGGGUAGUUCAGCCGGGUGUUGGAAGUCCCGGUGCCAAGUGUGUAGAACAGUGAGGGCGACAGGCAAAUCCGUCGCCGGAGUUCGAGGCACGAGGGCGGACCUACGGGUCAGAAGUGAAUGAGCCGCGCUGCCAAGAAAAGCCUCUAAGUGAAGAAAUCUGGGUGCCCGUACCGCAAACCGACACCGGUAGACGGGUAGAGCAUACCAAGGCGAACGGGAGAACCCUUGUCAAGGAAUUAGGCAAACUAGCCCCGUAACUUCGGGAGAAGGGGCGCCCCUGGGGGUGCAGGCUGUACAGUUGAAGCCUUUGGGGGCCGCAGAGAAAUGGCUCUAGCGACUGGUUACCAAAACCACAGGUCUCUGCGAACUCGUAAGAGGACGUAUAGGGGCUGACACCUGCCCAGUGCCGGAAGGUUAAAGGGAGGGGUUAGACGGAAGUCGAAGCUCUGAACUGAAGCCCCGGUGAACGGCGGCCGUAACUAUAACGGUCCGAAGGUAGCGAAAUUCCUAGUCGGGUAAGUUCCGACCCGCACGAAUGGUGUAACGACUGGAGCACUGUCUCGACAAGGGACCCGGUGAAAUUGAAGACGCGGUAAAGAUGCCGUGUACCCACAGCAGGACAAAAAGACCCCGUGGAGCUUUACUGCAACUUGGCACUGAGUUAGGGUGUCGUUUGUGUAGGAUAGGUGGGAGGCGGAGAAGCCGGGGCGUCAGCCUCGGUGGAGCCGACGGUGAAAUACCACCCUGACGACAUUUUGACUCUAACCCUGCACCGUAAGCCGGUCAGGGGACCGUGCCAGGCGGGCAGUUUGACUGGGGUGGUCGCCUCCUAAAAGGUAACGGAGGCGCCCAAAGGUUCCCUCAGGUGGAAUGGAAACCCACCCCAGAGUGCAAAGGCAUAAGGGAGCUUGACUGCAAGGCCUACCAGCCGCGCAGAGACGAAAGUCGGGCUUAGUGAUCCCACGGCACCGAGUGGAAGGGCCGUGGCUUACCGGAUAAAAGCUACCCCGGGGAUAACAGGGUGGUGAGGCCCAAGAGUUCACAUCGACGGCCUCGCUCGCCACCUCGAUGUCGGCUCGUCGCAUCCUGGGGCUGGACAAGGUCCCAAGGGUUGGACUGUUCGUCCAUUAAAGCGGCACGCGAGCUGGGUUCAGACCGUCGUGAGACAGGUCGGUCUCUAUCCGCUGUGGGCGUAGGGGACUUGAGGGGAGCUGCCCUCAGUACGAGAGGACCAGGGUGGACGGACCGCUGGUGUGCCAGUUGUCGUGCCAACGGCAUGGCUGGGUAGCUAGGUCCGGCAGGGAUAACCGCUGAAAGCAUCUAAGUGGGAAGCCCGCCCCGAGAUGAGGUCCCCCAUCCCGUGA
rnacentral:rRNA from 1 species